AUCCUUACCUGGAUGGGGUCAAUGUGCGAUCAAAAAGACUCAUGGCCUAGGACAGUGACCUCCAUUGCACUUGGGAGGGGUAUUGCUCUAAGGUCUCCCCAAAAUAUAUAUUAUUUAAAAGUGUUAAUGGAUUGGGUACUUGUUUCGACUGCACAUU